rnacentral:rRNA from 1 species
CCUACGGGAGGCAGCAGUGAGGAAUAUUGGUCAAUGGGCGCGAGCCUGAACCAGCCAAGUAGCGUGAAGGCUGACUGCCCUACGGGUUUUAAACUUCUUUUAUAAAGGAAUAAAGUGAGGCACGUGUGCCUUUUUGCAUGUACUUUAUGAAUAAGGAUCGGCUCACUCCGUGCCAGCAGCCGCGUUAAUACGGAGGAGCCGAGCUUUAUCCGGAUUUCUUGGGUUUCAAGGGAGCGUAGAUGGGUGGUUAAGUCAGGUGUGAAAGUUUGCGGCUCAACCGUAAAAUUGCAAUUGAUACUGGCAGUCUUGAGUACAGUUGAGGUAGGCGGAAUUCGUGGUGUAGCGGUGAAAUGCAGAGAUAUCACGAGGAACUCCGAGUGCGAAGGCAGCUUACUAAACGGCGACUGACGUUGAGGCUCGAAAGUGUGGGUAUCAAACAGGAUUAGAUACCCUUGUAGUC